UCCAUCAAAACUGUCCUCCUCCCCUUACUGGAUUAUUGCUGACGCUUCCUAGCUGGGUCUCGCCCUUCUAGUCCCUCCUGAAAAUCAAACUCUUUCUCAUUCACCAUCAAAAAUGUUGCUCCAUAACCUGGGAAUUUCCUGUCAUCGAUCAAAUCCACCCUCAAUUCUUAAGAAUCACACUCAAGUACUCAAGAUCCUUCUUGAGCCAGCCUCCUCCCUCGGAACUCCCCUCCAGUGCCCAGCCCAGCGUGAUGCUCAGACACACCUUGUUAAAUGAGAAACCAGGCUAAGCACCAUCGCAGCCCAGCCCUUCCAGGUACUUCGCUGAUCCCAGGGCCCCAAAGUGAACCGAGCUCUGCAUGGUGUCCACGAGGGGCUGCUCCUUUACCUGUCUCAUCACUAUACUCCCCGUCGGGACACUCCACGCACUCAAAGCAGCAGGUGGGCUCCCCCUCAAUGAUUCCUUUCCUGGUCCCUGCCAGGCAGUCUCGGCUGCAGUUGGAGAAAGGCACCUGGAGGACAGAGAUCACAACAGUGAGGGGCUGCAGCCGCAGGAUCAGUCUUCCAGCUCCACUGACACGGGUUUUAUAGGGUGAUUUCUGAGAUCCUUGCAACAGCUCAGUGAGGCAGGCAGGACAGGCAUGGAGGAGUCGGAAGUAAAUGGAUCAGAAAAAUAUAUCAGUGAACUUCUAUCUAAGUGAAGGAUGUACCUGCCAAGCUUCAACCUUCUUGAUAUCUGCACAGGAACCGUUGGUGAAGAGCCCUCUCCCAGUAAAGGCAGAAGAACGGCCAUUUACUGAUGGAAUGGAGUGGAAAAUAAAUAACUGAACCCUUUGGAAUAAAAGACAAAGUUUUAUACAAGCUAUCAGGAAGACCAAGGGAAAGUGCUGGAUCCCUUCUGGAAGUUGCAAAUCUCAAGAGAAAGUGCUCUUCUCUCUUACAAGAUGGGUCAAGACUUGAGCUUUCAGACGUCCAUAACUGUUGGAGCAUGGCUUGGUCAACUGUGGGGUCGUUGUGUGAAUGGAGAAAAGAACUCCUAUGGGCCAGAUACAACCUUGUACCAAGAUGUCCAGCUUGGGGAGUGGAGCACAGGUUGGAUUUCUACCCACACUAACCCCUCAGUUGUGCAGUGAGCAACUUUGAGGACUCCUUAAGGAGGCCUGCCCUGGACUCUCAGAUUAGGUAGGUCCACCUGUUAUAGUCUUUUAUAUCUUGGAUUUUGGAGUUCCUCUCUUGGAAGAUUGAUCAUACUUUGUUAUAAUUAGAUGCAUAAAUGUCUGAUUCCAGACCCCAAGCUCUUAACCAUUGUCAUAUGCUGCCCCUGCCCCUUAGGAAGGGGGCUCUUUCUCCUACAGCGUUACAAGUAGAGGGUGCUGGGCCCCGAAUGGAAGGAGCACCCCAGCAGACACUCAACAGUCACAGAACUGUCUGAAAUAACAUCUGAACAUCCAUGACCAUCCUAGUUCUCUGACUCCAGUCCUGCUCUUAGAUUUUUGGCUUCAUUUCUUAACCUUGGUCAUAUAUUCAUUCAUACAUUUAAUAAGUACAUGUGCUAAGGACUGGAAAUAUAAAGGUACCACACACAUCAUGUUCCCUGCCCUCAGGAGCUCCCCAGCCAGUGGGCAGAAGUUACCUCAACAUUCAGAAGAGAAAAAAAUAUAUAUAGUAUAUAUAUUGUUGUUUCCAAUGACUAAAUUCAACUUUGCUCCCCAGUACUUAGCACAAUGUCUGAAAUAGUAACUGUUGAAUAAAUGCUGGUUGAAUGCAUGCACAAGAAAAGAAAAUACUU